CGUACCUAAAAGAAAGCCAUUCGAUAGUUACUAUAGCAAUUAGUACAAGUAUACAUUAUAGAAGAAAAAACUGCUAUUUUAUGUACAUUAUUUAGUGGUUAGGGUUACUUUGGACCUUGGAACGGGACCAUAUAAAAUUUUAACCGGCAGACACAGCCUAGCGUAAUUUUCUGCUGCUAUUGUCGCCAGGGUCAGGACUGUCACCAGGAAGCACAGUGCCUCCAGGGUCCAUUCGAAUCUGCAGGGAAUUUUAUUGGGAUAUCCAAAUCUUCCAGGAUUCUACCUUUCUUUAUGUCCCGUUUUAUCUCGUCUGAGCAGCAGGGCUACUUUUGAUCUUUUUCUUGAACGCUUUGAAUUCUUUUAUCUCGUAAAGUCUGCGCUCUCUACUGUUUCGCUCUUUGUGCUGCCUUGCACUGUUUCUUUGAAAUAGACAAUUUUCUAGAAUGGCACUUUGGACAAUUUCGUUACACGCAAUUCGCCAUGAGAGACGAACACGUGAAAGCAUCGGAUGAACCCCCGUUCUUAAGAAUAUUUCUGAAGAUUAUCUGUACCUACUGCGCAACCCACCCUGUAACACCUGAGGAAUAGUAAAUGCUGUGAGAAACGCCUAUUCUGAGCUUUCUAGAAGAAGAGUGGAAAAAAGUCGCUUUGCCAGCUGAAAAUAAAUUGAACAGAUUGAAAAUCCCCAGUACUGGGAUACGUGACCACUUCGGAAUUGAUUCCUUUGGUUUGGCUGGCAGAGAGUGAGCAAUGUCGAUAUUGCAAGCGCACUGCUGGAUGUCUCACAAAAGCCAAAUAAAAAACAUAGUUGAUCCUCGACCAUCACGGCGGAGAUCAUGAAGACGUUACCGACGCUGCCGACGGCUGCAAGUGACGUGAAUAGAAGAACUCGAGCUACCCUCGACCAAUCUGCUGACAAGGUUACUGGGGAUAUAUCCAGGUCGCCGUCGAACGCAGUACUAUUACCCAAAGCCAUCUUGGGAUUUAGAGCUACGACUUCGGCGACGGUAGU